rnacentral:rRNA from 1 species
AACGAACGCUGGCGGCAGGCUUAACACAUGCAAGUCGAGCGAGACCUUCGGGUCUAGCGGCGGACGGGUGAGUAACGCGUGGGAACGUGCCCUUCUCUACGGAAUAGCCCCGGGAAACUGGGAGUAAUACCGCAUACGCCCUUUGGGGGAAAGAUUUAUCGGAGAAGGAUCGGCCCGCGUUGGAUUAGGUAGUUGGUGGGGUAAUGGCCCACCAAGCCGACGAUCCAUAGCUGGUUUGAGAGGAUGAUCAGCCACGCUGGGACUGAGACACGGCCCAGACUCCUACGGGAGGCAGCAGUGGGGAAUCUUAGACAAUGGGGGCAACCCUGAUCGAGCCAUGCCGCGUGAGUGAUGAAGGCCUUAGGGUUGUAAAGCUCUUUCAGCUGGGAAGAUAAUGACGGUACCAGCAGAAGAAGCCCCGGCUAACUCCGUG